rnacentral:rRNA from 1 species
AAAAUAACAAUGAUACCCUUAGUAGCGGCGAGCGAAGUGGGUAAAGCUCAAGUUUAAAACCUGUUUGUCCUAGACAAACCGGAUUGUAAACUAAGGACGUGCUAUCCAGGCUCUUUGGACCUUCAAGUCCUUUGGAAUAAGGCUUCACAGAGGGUGACAAUCCCGUAGAGGGUCUUGAAAGAGUCUAUUGCGAUGCAUGCUCCAAGAGUCAGGUUGUUUGGGAAUGCAGCCUAAAGUGGGAGGUAAAUCCCUCCUAAAGCUAAAUAUUGGCGAGAGACCGAUAGCAAACAAGUACCGUGAGGGAAAGUUGAAAAGGACUUUGAAAAGAGAGUCAAAAGUACGUGAAAUUGCUUAAAGGGAAGCGUUUGGAGCUAGUUUGGCUAGUCUGUUAUCAGCCUGAGCUUCGGCUUUGGUGUACUAUCAGGCUAUUUGCCGGCCAACUUUCAGGAUUGGAAGGAAAGCUUAGUGCUUUGGAGUCUAAAGAGACCUUUGCGGAAGCCUCUGGUGGAGCGUUGGUCUGCCUUGGCCCUUCUGAACCUAUAGUUGGCUUAAUGGCUCUAAACGGC